CCCUAUGGGGUGCAGACAGGAUGAAGACCGGACUGAUGCCCGACUUCGUGGGCAACGGCAGGCUGGAAUACAACACACUCUCUGAUAAAACCCUUUUCCCGGGAGGAAACGAGUUCAGGUAUUUUGACAUCAAGACCGUGAAGCAGACAAGGCAGAACGUGAGGGCACUUGACUACGUAAACGGUAUCUAUAAUGCAUUCCUCCAGCCCUCUGAUGACCGGGAAUUCAAACCAUAUUUCUUCAAUGAGGACUUCAACGGCAAAUCGGUGGUUGCAAUUGAGGAAAGCAAUGACCCUGACCGGGAAGCUGAUUACCUGUGGGUCUGGUUCACGCUUCCGGCAUACCAUGAAUUGGCGGGAGGGC
rnacentral:rRNA from 1 species